rnacentral:rRNA from 1 species
GACGAACGCUGGCGGCGUGCCUAAUACAUGCAAGUCGAACGCUUCUUUCCUCCCGAGUGCUUGCACUCAAUUGGAAAGAGGAGUGGCGGACGGGUGAGUAACACGUGGGUAACCUACCCAUCAGAGGGGGAUAACACUUGGAAACAGGUGCUAAUACCGCAUAACAGUUUAUGCCGCAUGGCAUAAGAGUGAAAGGCGCUUUCGGGUGUCGCUGAUGGAUGGACCCGCGGUGCAUUAGCUAGUUGGUGAGGUAACGGCUCACCAAGGCCACGAUGCAUAGCCGACCUGAGAGGGUGAUCGGCCACACUGGGACUGAGACACGGCCCAGACUCCUACGGGAGGCAGCAGUAGGGAAUCUUCGGCAAUGGACGAAAGUCUGACCGAGCAACGCCGCGUGAGUGAAGAAGGUUUUUCCGGAUCGUAAAACUCUGUUGUUAGAGAAGAACAAGGACGUUAGUAACUG